rnacentral:rRNA from 1 species
UCCUACGGGAGGCAGCAGUGAGGAAUAUUGGACAAUGGUCGGAAGACUGAUCCAGCCAUGCCGCGUGCAGGAUGACUGCCCUAUGGGUUGUAAACUGCUUUUGUACGAGAAGAACACCCUCUUCGUGAAGAGGACUGACGGUAUCGUACGAAUAAGGACCGGCUAACUCCGUGCCAGCAGCCGCGGUAAUACGGAGGGUCCGAGCGUUAUCCGGAAUCAUUGGGUUUAAAGGGUCCGUAGGCGGGCUAUUAAGUCAGAGGUGAAAUUGUGCAGCUCAACUGUAGAACUGCCUUUGAUACUGAUAGUCUUGAGUUAUGGUGAGGUAGCCGGAACAUGUGGUGUAGCGGUGAAAUGCAUAGAUAUCACAUAGAACGCCGAUUGCGAAGGCAGGUUACCAACCAUAUACUGACGCUGAUGGACGAAAGCGUGGGGAGCGAACGGGAUUAGAUACCCCGGUAGUCCACGCCGUAAACGAUGGAUACUAGCUGUCGGGUUUUCGGACUCAGCGGCCAAGCGAAAGUGAUAAGUAUCCCACCUGGGGAGUACGUUCGCAAGAAUGAAACUCAAAUGAAUUGACGGA